UUCUAAGACACAGAAACCCUCAACACCCCGAACGCCGUAAAUCCCCAACGUUCCAAACGCCACAACAACUCA